CUGAGACUCGAACCAGGGUCCUCCAGAGUGGAAAGCCGAAGCGUUUCCACGCGGCCAAUCCGACCGACUAAGACAUACAUUUGACAUCACCUUACUCAUAUUUUGAGUAAUCUUAAAAUACAGUAAAUUUCAUUAUUUUAAAUUUACACUGAUAGCUAGCAUUUUGAAUUAAAAGUCUAUCAGUUAUGUCAUUUAACCGGUUUGCAUCGGUUUGCUGGAAGCGGUUGCUAAAAUUCGCCGGGUUAGCUGAAUCGCUUAUUGAGACAGAAAAAAUCGCAGUUUUAGAGAUUUUGCGAAAUGUUUUUACGAGGAAGAGCCGAAAGGUCUUUGCCGGUGGUUUUUAUUUUCAAAAUGGAAGGUUUGGAAGUUCAUAUGAGAUCUCCAUUGGAAUUGCUAUUUAAUCGAUAAGUAGCAGAUCACUCGAGAUUGCAGACGCAGAGAAAUGAGAGAGAAAACAUGACCCCCAUUCAAACAUUCUCAUAAGAUGUAAACCGUCUUAUGAGAAGCGAGUUGUUAUUCGUUUUCUGUGGGCCAAGUGUAAAACAUCAGCUGAGAUUCGCCAGGAAAUGGUGAAUGUGUUUGGGGAAGACUGUGCUAAAGAGAAC
rnacentral:lncRNA from 1 species